rnacentral:rRNA from 1 species
AUUGAACGCUGGCGGAAUGCUUUACACAUGCAAGUCGAACGGUAGAGGGGGCAACCCCUUGAGAGUGGCGAACGGGUGAGUAAUAUAUCGGAACGUGCCCAGUCGUGGGGAUAACGUAGCGAAAGUUACGCUAAUACCGCAUACGAUCUAUGGAUGAAAGCGGGGGAUCGCAAGACCUCGCGCGAUUGGAGCGGCCGAUAUCAGAUUAGGUAGUUGGUGAGGUAAAGGCUCACCAAGCCGACGAUCUGUAGCUGGUCUGAGAGGACGACCAGCCACACUGGGACUGAGACACGGCCCAGACUCCUACGGGAGGCAGCAGUGGGGGAAUUUUGGACAAUGGGCGCAAGCCUGAUCCAGCAAUGCCGCGUGCAGGAUGAAGGCCCUUGGUUGUAACUAGCUUUGUUACGGUAACGGAAACGGUAGGAG